UGAGGAAUAUUGGUCAAUGGACGCAAGUCUGAACCAGCCAAGUAGCGUGCAGGAUGACGGCCCUCCGGGUUGUAAACUGCUUUUAGUUGGGAAUAAAGUGCAGCUCGUGAGCUGUUUUGUAUGUACCAUCAGAAAAAGGACCGGCUAAUUCCGUGCCAGCAGCCGCGGUAAUACGGAAGGUCCAGGCGUUAUCCGGAUUUAUUGGGUUUAAAGGGAGCGCAGGCGGACUCUUAAGUCAGUUGUGAAAUACGGCGGCUCAACCGUCGAACUGCAGUUGAUACUGGGAGUCUUGAGUGCACACAGGGAUGCUGGAAUUCAUGGUGUAGCGGUGAAAUGCUCAGAUAUCAUGAAGAACUCCGAUCGCGAAGGCAGGUAUCCGGGGUGCAACUGACGCUGAGGCUCGAAAGUGCGGGUAUCAAACAGG
rnacentral:rRNA from 1 species